rnacentral:rRNA from 1 species
UGAGCAAUCAGCCCUUCUCUUCGGAAUAAGCGUUGGAAACGACGUCUAAUGCCGAAUACGACCUCCUUUCGCAUGAUCGGAGGUGGAAAGCUCCGGCGGAGAAGGAUGAGCUCGCGGCCUAUCAGCUAGUUGGGUGUGGGUAAUGGCCCACCAAGGCGACGACGGGUAGCCGGCCUGAGGAGGGUGACCGGCCACACUGGGACUGAGACACGGUCCAGACUCCGUACGGGGAGGNAGGCG